AGUGAACGCUGGCGGUAGGCCUAACACAUGCAAGUCGAACGGCAGCACAGUAAGAGCUUGCUCUUACGGGUGGCGAGUGGCGGACGGGUGAGGAAUACAUCGGAAUCUACUUUUUCGUGGGGGAUAACGUAGGGAAACUUACGCUAAUACCGCAUACGACCUACGGGUGAAAGCAGGGGAUCUUCGGACCUUGCGCGAUUGAAUGAGCCGAUGUCGGAUUAGUUAGUUGGCGGGGCAAAGGCCCACCAAGGCGACGAUCCGUAGCUGGUCUGAGAGGAUGAUCAGCCACACUGGAACUGAGACACGGUCCAGACUCCUACGGGAGGCAGCAGUGGGGAAUAUUGGACAAUGGGCGCAAGCCUGAUCCAGCCAUACCGCGUGGGUGAAGAAGGCCUUCGGGUUGUAAAGCCCUUUUGUUGGGAAAGAAAAGCAGCAGGUUAAUACCCCGCUGUUCUGACGGUACCCAAAGAAUAAGCACCGGCUAACUUCGUG
rnacentral:rRNA from 1 species